rnacentral:rRNA from 1 species
GUAACCGGCUCACCAAGCAUCGACGGGUAGCUGGUCUGAGAGGACGAUCAGCCACACUGGGACUGAGACACGGCCCAGACUCCUACGGGAGGCAGCAGUAGGGAAUCUUGCGCAAUGGGCGAAAGCCUGACGCAGCAACACCGCGUGGGGGAUGAAUGCCUUCGGGUUGUAAACCCCUUUCAGCAGGGACGAAAAUGACGGUACCUGCAGAAGAAGCCCCGGCCAACUACGUGCCAGCAGCCGCGGUAAUACGUAGGGGGCAAGCGUUGUCCGGAUUUAUUGGGCGUAAAGAGCUCGUAGGCGGUUCGGUAAGUCGGGUGUGAAAAUCCAAGGCUCAACCUUGGGACGCCACCCGAUACUGCUGUGACUAGAGUCCGGUAGAGGAGUGUGGAAUUCCUGGUGUAGCGGUGAAAUGCGCAGAUAUCAGGAGGAACACCUGCGGCGAAGGCGGCACUCUGGGCCGGAACUGACGCUGAGGAGCGAAAGCAUGGGGAGCAAACAGGAUUGGAUACCCUGGUAGUCCAUGCCGUAAACGUUGGGCACUAGGUAU